AUACCUUUCUCGGCCUUUUGGCUAAGAUCAAGUGUAGUAUCUGUUCUUGUUAGUUUAAUAUCUGAUACGUGAGUUAAUGGUUCACAUGAUAUUAAAUUAAUUUCUUUAAGGUAAGAGUUCACAUAAUAGCUUGCUAUUGAGAAUUUCGGGCGUUGCCUUUGCGUUGCACUACAACAUUGGUCUGGCGCACCCUCC